GAUGAACGCUGGCGGCGUGCUUAACACAUGCAAGUCGAACGAAGCACCUUGAUUUGAUUCUUCGGAUGAAGAUCUUGGUGACUGAGUGGCGGACGGGUGAGUAACGCGUGGGUAACCUGCCUCAUACAGGGGGAUAACAGUUAGAAAUGACUGCUAAUACCGCAUAAGACCACAGCACCGCAUGGUGCAGGGGUAAAAACUCCGGUGGUAUGAGAUGGACCCGCGUCUGAUUAGGUAGUUGGUGGGGUAACGGCCUACCAAGCCGACGAUCAGUAGCCGACCUGAGAGGGUGACCGGCCACAUUGGGACUGAGACACGGCCCAAACUCCUACGGGAGGCAGCAGUGGGGAAUAUUGCACAAUGGGGGAAACCCUGAUGCAGCGACGCCGCGUGAGCGAUGAAGUAUUUCGGUAUGUAAAGCUCUAUCAGCAGGGAAGAAAAUGACGGUACCUGACUAAGAAGCACCGGCUAAAUACGUGCCAGCGGCCGCGGUAAUACGUAUGGUGCAAGCGUUAUCCGGAUUUACUGGGUGUAAAGGGAGCGUAGACGGAGUGGCAAGUCUGAUGUGAAAACCCGGGGCUCAACCCCGGGACUGCAUUGGAAACUGUCAAUCUAGAGUACCGGAGAGGUAAGCGGAAUUCCUAGUGUAGCGGUGAAAUGCGUAGAUAUUAGGAGGAACACCAGUGGCGAAGGCGGCUUACUGGACGGUAACUGACGUUGAGGCUCGAAAGCGUGGGGAGCAAACAGGAUUAGAUACCCUGGUAGUCCACGCCGUAAACG
rnacentral:rRNA from 1 species